CUGGGGGGAUUAGUGGCGAACGGGUGAGUAACACGUGAGUAACCUGCCCUUGACUCUGGGAUAAGCCUGGGAAACUGGGUCUAAUACCGGAUAUGACCAUUCCGCGCAUGCGGUGGUGGUGGAAAGCUUUUGCGGUUUUGGAUGGACUCGCGGCCUAUCAGCUUGUUGGUGGGGUAAUGGCCUACCAAGGCGACGACGGGUAGCCGGCCUGAGAGGGUGACCGGCCACACUGGGACUGAGACACGGCCCAGACUCCUACGGGAGGCAGCAGUGGGGAAUAUUGCACAAUGGGCGAAAGCCUGAUGCAGCGACGCCGCGUGAGGGAUGACGGCCUUCGGGUUGUAAACCUCUUUCAGUAGGGAAGAAGCGAAAGUGACGGUACCUGCAGAAGAAGCGCCGGCUAACUACGUGCCAGCAGCCGCGGUAAUACGUAGGGCGCAAGCGUUAUCCGGAAUUAUUGGGCGUAAAGAGCUCGUAGGCGGUUUGUCGCGUCUGCUGUGAAAGACCGGGGCUCAACUCCGGUUCUGCAGUGGGUACGGGCAGACUAGAGUGAUGUAGGGGAGACUGGAAUUCCUGGUGUAGCGGUGAAAUGCGCAGAUAUCAGGAGGAACACCGAUGGCGAAGGCAGGUCUCUGGGCAUUAACUGACGCUGAGGAGCGAAAGCAUGGGGAGCGAACAGGAUUAGAUACCCUGGUAGUCCAUGCCGUAAACGUUGGGCACUAGGUGUGGGGGACAUUCCACGUUUUCCGCGCCGUAGCUAACGCAUUAAGUGCCCCGCCUGGGGAGUACGGCCGCAAGGUAAAC
rnacentral:rRNA from 1 species